AUAUUUGGGUUUCUCUUCAAAUCGUAUAAAUCUUUUGCCUUUUACUAAAGAUUUCGUGGAGAGGGAAAAUUCUGAGUCUUAGUCCAAUUUUUUGAGGCCCUGUUUCUGAUGGGCU
ensembl:snRNA U5 U5 spliceosomal RNA